GAGUUUGAUCAUGCUCAGAUUGAACGCUGGCGGCAUGCCUUACACAUGCAAGUCGAACGGCAGCACGGGAGCUUGCUCCUGGGUGGCGAGUGGCGAACGGGUGAGUAAUGCAUCGGAACGUAUCCUGGAGUGGGGGAUAACGUAGCGAAAGUUACGCUAAUACCGCAUAUUCUGUGAGCAGGAAAGCGGGGGACCUUCGGGCCUCGCGCUCUUGGAGCGGCCGAUGUCGGAUUAGCUAGUUGGUGAGGUAAAGGCUCACCAAGGCGACGAUCCGUAGCAGGUCUGAGAGGAUGAUCUGCCACACUGGAACUGAGACACGGUCCAGACUCCUACGGGAGGCAGCAGUGGGAAUUUUGGACAAUGGGGCAACCCUGAUCCAGCCAUGCCGCGUGAGUGAAGAA
rnacentral:rRNA from 1 species